GCCUGGCUGGCUCAGUCAGUAGAGCAUGUGACUCUUGAGCUCAAGGUCGUGAGUUCAAGCCCUACGUUGGGCA
rnacentral:tRNA from 1 species